UCCGUGGUAGCUCAAAGGUAGAGCCCCAACCGGUAAUUAGUACUUGGCGGGUUCGAUUCCCGAUCGCGGAG
rnacentral:tRNA from 1 species